rnacentral:tRNA from 1 species
GCCUUCGUGGUGUAGUGAUGAGCACGCGCUCGAUGCGUAACCGAGAGGUCCGUGGUUCGAUUCCCGAUGAAGGCG